ACGGAUAUCUUGGUUCUCGUAUCGAUGAAGAACGCAGCGAAAUGCGAUACGUAAUGCGAAUUGCAGAAUUCAGUGAAUCAUCAAAUCUUUGAACGCAAUUGCGCUCUCGGAUAGGCUGAGAGCACGCCUCUUUGAGUAUCGAUUCCACCACCUCCAGAACAACUGAUUUCGAUUGGUUUUGACACUGGAAUUUGAGUGUUUUCAUGUCUCUUUAGUGAGAUGUGUCACUUGAAGCGGAAUGGAAUUGAGGGUCUGCGAAACUGCUGUUGAAUGUCAGUUUGCUGAAGUAACUUUGAACAUGGAUAAUUUCCAAUGAUCAAUAAACUUUGGCUUAUCUGAUAUCAGCGAAUACUAAGUUUGCAAACAAAAGCCUCUCCUAACUCAUAUCUUAACAAUCUAAGAACUAGAUCUCAAAUGAAGCGAGACAACCCGCUGAACUUAA
rnacentral:rRNA from 1 species